rnacentral:rRNA from 1 species
AUACGUAGGGGGCGAGCGUUGUCCGGAAUGAUUGGGCGUAAAGGGCGCGUAGGCGGCGCGGUAAGUCUGGAGUGAAAGUCCUGCUUUCAAGGUGGGAAUUGCUUUGGAUACUGCCGCGCUUGAGUGCAGGAGAGGUUAUCGGAAUUCCCGGUGUAGCGGUGAAAUGCGUAGAGAUCGGGAGGAACACCAGUGGCGAAGGCGGGUAACUGGACUGCAACUGACGCUGAGGCGCGAAAGUGUGGGGAGCAAACAGGAUUAGAUACCCUGGUAGGCCACACUGUAAACGAUGAAUGCUAGGUGUAAGAGGUAUCGACCCCUUUUGUGCCGGAGUCAACACAAUAAGCAUUCCGCCUGGGGAGUACGGCCGCAAGGUUGAAACUCAAAUGAAUUGACGGGG